AUUCGAUUUUGCGGUGAUCUGGGCCCAUGCAUGUAAGAACUGUGAUGUGCCGAUGCCAUCACAUACACAGUGAUUGAUCGCGGUGCACACAAUCAUCCCUCCACACCUGAGAUUCGUCACCUGAAAAACUAAAAUGUGAAGGUAAAUUUUUGAAAACCAAUCGGAAAUAUAAAUUUGUUAAAAUUAUCUUCUUCCUUUUUUUUUUUUUUUUUCUAAUAA